rnacentral:sRNA from 1 species
AUAUCUCUCCGUACGGGAAGGAUGAGAAGCUUCGACUAAGGUUCGAUUCGAGCGCAGCGAGAAAGCGUUGCC